GGCCUGUUCGUCUAACGGUCAGGAUAACUGGCUUUCAUCCAGUAGAUAGGGGUUCGAUUCCCCUAUGGGCUA
rnacentral:tRNA from 1 species